AAGUCGUAACAAGGUUUCCGUAGGUGAACCUGCGGAAGGAUCAUUAACACGUUAUCCACGUAUCAUCAUCGAGAACCGUUAAUUUCUACCUCUGUGCAGAAUGAGCAGCAGCAAGAUUGAGUGAUUGGAAGGGACUGCCUCGGCGUCAGGCUCAAUUUGCUACUUGUCCCGAAAGGCCUGCUUUUUGGCAGGCUUCUAGGUCCAUACUGUUGUAUCUGUCUCGUGGAGGCCCCAUUCGGCGCGCAACUCUCCUCCCAUGAAGUGCGCGUCGGGUAACUUAUCUAACAAUUCUAACCCCUUUUUGCUAGUUGACUUUUAUAUGUUGUUCUUCGCUUCGGUGAGGUGCACACGUUUAAUUAUUUGAACGUUAAAAAUACAACUCUUAGCAAUGGAUAUCUAGGUUCUC
rnacentral:misc_RNA from 1 species